AUUAAAGAUAGGUAAGCACGCCACCCGCUUCGUUUAUUUCAUUUAGAAAUAAACUUAGUUGGAAAUGUGAAUCAAUUAGGAUUCGAACUUGGGUCUCAGGUAUCAACCACCAAGUCCUUUGCCACUUGCUCUAGGGACGGUCGGUCUCUGAUACCAAUUGUUGGAAUCGGUAUUUGUGUUGAUACUGAUUAUGUAACAUAAAAUCUAAUAAUAAAACAAAAUAAUAUAGAAAAAAGAUAUUAGAGAGGGAAGAAAAUUACUAAAUUAAUACUUUAUUAAUAAAAGAAUUUAAUUACACUGUGGAUGAUACCUAUGAAGCAAUGUCUACUGUGACUUAUUUAUCUAAUUAACUUAUACCUAACUAUAUAUAUAGCUAUCAAGUUAUAACAGA
rnacentral:lncRNA from 1 species